rnacentral:misc_RNA from 1 species
GAUGAAGAACGUAGCGAAAUGCGAUAAGUAAUGUGAAUUGCAGAAUUCAGUGAAUCAUCGAAUCUUUGAACGCACAUUGCGCCCGUCAGUAUUCUGGCGGGCAUGCCUGUUCGAGCGUCAUUACGCCCCUCAAGUCCCCUGUGGACUUGGUGUUGGGGAUCGGCGAGGCUGGUUUUCCAGCACAGCCGUCCCUUAAAUUAAUUGGCGGUCUUGCCGUGGCCCUCCUCUGCGCAGUAGUAAAACACUCGCAACAGGAGCCCGGCGCGGUCCACUGCCGUAAAACCCCCCAACUUUUUAUAGUUGACCUCGAAUCAGGUAGGACUACCCGCUGAACUUAAGCAUAUCAAUAAGCGGAGGA